UGAUUACAUGGAAAAGUAAUACUUUUGCAAGA
rnacentral:piRNA from 1 species